AUUGAACGCUGGCGGCAUGCUUUACACAUGCAAGUCGAGCGGUAACAGGCCUUCGGGUGCUGACGAGUGGCGAACGGGUGAGUAAUGCAUCGGAACGUACCCAGAGGUGGGGGAUAACGCAGCGAAAGCUGUGCUAAUACCGCAUGUGAUCUGAGGAUGAAAGCGGGGGACCGAGCAGCAAUGUUUGGCCUCGCGCCUUUGGAGCGGCCGAUGUCGGAUUAGCUAGUUGGUGGGGUAAAGGCCUACCAAGGCGACGAUCCGUAGCUGGUCUGAGAGGACGACCAGCCACACUGGGACUGAGACACGGCCCAGACUCCUACGGGAGGCAGCAGUGGGGAAUUUUGGACAAUGGGCGCAAGCCUGAUCCAGCAAUGCCGCGUGCGGGAAGAAGGCCUUCGGGUUGUAGACCGCUUUUGGCAGGAACGAAACGGUGUCCGCUAAUACCGGGCGCUAAUGACGGUACCUGCAGAAUAAGCACCGGCUAACUACGUG
rnacentral:rRNA from 1 species